UAAUACGGAGGGUGCAAGCGUUAUCCGGAUUCACUGGGUUUAAAGGGAGCGUAGGUGGGCAGGUAAGUCAGUGGUGAAAUCUCCGGGCUUAACCCGGAAACUGCCAUUGAUACUAUCUGUCUUGAAUAUCCUGGAGGUAAGCGGAAUAUGUCAUGUAGCGGUGAAAUGCUUAGAUAUGACAUAGAACACCCAUUGCGAAGGCAGCUUACUACGGGAUGAUUGACACUGAGGCUCGAAAGCGUGGGGAUCAAACAGG
rnacentral:rRNA from 1 species